rnacentral:rRNA from 1 species
GACGAACGCUGGCGGCGUGCUUAGCACAUGCAAGUCGAACGGUAAGGCCCCUUCGGGGGUACACGAGUGGCGAACGGGUGAGUAACACGUGAGCAACCUGCCCUUGACUCUGGAAUAACAGUUGGAAACAGCUGCUAAUACUGGAUAUUCAUCGUCUCCUUCCUGGGGGGUGGUGGAAAGCUCCGGCGGUCAGGGAUGGGCUCGCGGCCUAUCAGCUUGUUGGUGAGGUAAUGGCUCACCAAGGCUUCGACGGGUAGCCGGCCUGAGAGGGCGACCGGCCACACUGGGACUGAGAUACGGCCCAGACUCCUACGGGAGGCAGCAGUGGGGAAUAUUGCACAAUGGGCGCAAGCCUGAUGCAGCAACGCCGCGUGCGGGAUGACGGCCUUCGGGUUGUAAACCGCUUUCAGUAGGGACGAAGGGUGACUGACGGUACCUACAGAAGAGGGACCGGCUAACUACGUG